rnacentral:rRNA from 1 species
CAGUAGCCGCGGGAAAACGAAGGGGGCUAGCGUUGCUCGGAAUUACUGGGCGUAAAGCGCACGUAGACGGCUUUGUAAGUUAGAGGUGAAAGCCUGGUGCUCAACACCAGAACUGCCUUUGAUACUGCAUCGCUUGAAUCCAGGAGAGGUGAGUGGAAUUCCGAGUGUAGAGGUGAAAUUCGUAGAUAUUCGGAAGAACACCAGUGGCGAAGGCGGCUCACUGGACUGGUAUUGACGCUGAGGUGCGAAAGCGUGGGGAGCAAACAGGAUUAGAUACCCCAGUAGUCCCUGUCUCUUAUAA